AACGAGCGCUGGCGGCAUGCCUAACACAUGCAAGUCGAACGAAGGCUUCGGCCUUAGUGGCGCACGGGUGCGUAACGCGUGGGAAUCUGCCCUUUGGUUCGGAAUAACAGCUGGAAACGGCUGCUAAUACCGGAUGAUGACGAAAGUCCAAAGAUUUAUCGCCAGAGGAUGAGCCCGCGUUGGAUUAGGUAGUUGGUGGGGUAAAGGCCUACCAAGCCGACGAUCCAUAGCUGGUCUGAGAGGAUGAUCAGCCACACUGGGACUGAGACACGGCCCAGACUCCUACGGGAGGCAGCAGUGGGGAAUAUUGGACAAUGGGCGCAAGCCUGAUCCAGCAAUGCCGCGUGAGUGAUGAAGGCCCUAGGGUUGUAAAGCUCUUUUACCCGGGAAGAUAAUGACUGUACCGGGAGAAUAAGCCCCGGCUAACUCCGUG
rnacentral:rRNA from 1 species